AAGAUAGGUGAGAAUCCUAUCCACCGUAUGACUAAGGUUUCCUGGGGAAGGCUCGUCCUCCCAGGGUUAGUCGGGACCUAAGCCGAGGCCGAGAGGCGUAGGCGAUGGAUAACAGGUUGAUAUUCCUGUACUAGUUAAACUUGUUUGAACAAUGGAGGGACGCAGUAGGCUAAGGAAAGCACCCAGCUGGAAAAGGGUGUCCAAGCAGUAAGUCUGAAGUAGAGUCAAAUGCUUUACUUCUUAAGGACAAGCUGUGAUGGGGAGCGAAAUUUAAGUAGCGAAGUUCCUGACGUCACACUGCCGAGAAAAGCUUCUAGUUAGAGUUUAGCUACCCGUACCGCAAACCGACACAGGUAGUCGAGGAGAGUAUCCUAAGGUGAGCGAGAGAACUCUCGUUAAGGAACUCGGCAAAAUGACCCCGUAACUUCGGGAGAAGGGGUGCUGAUCGCAAGAUCAGCCGCAGUGAAAAGGCCCAGGCGACUGUUUAUCAAAAACACAGGUUUCUGCAAAAUCGUAAGAUGACGUAUAGGGGCUGACGCCUGCCCGGUGCUGGAAGGUUAAGGGAAUGAGUUAGCGUAAGCGAAGCUCUGAACUGAAGCCCCAGUAAACGGCGGCCGUAACUAUAACGGUCCUAAGGUAGCGAAAUUCCUUGUCGGGUAAGUUCCGACCCGCACGAAAGGCGUAACGAUCUGGGCACUGUCUCAACGAGAGACUCGGUGAAAUUAUAAUACCCGUGAAGAUGCGGGUUACCCGCGACAGGACGGAAAGACCCCAUGGAGCUUUACUGUAACUUGAUAUUGAGUGUUUGUACAGCUUGUACAGGAUAGGUAGGAGCCGUAGAAUCCGGAACGCUAGUUUCGGAGGAGGCAAUGGUGGGAUACUACCCUCGUUGUAUGAACCCUCUAACCCGCGCCACUAAUCGUGGCGGGAGACAGUGUCUGGUGGGCAGUUUGACUGGGGCGGUCGCCUCCUAAAGAGUAACGGAGGCGCCCAAAGGUUCCCUCAGAAUGGUUGGAAAUCAUUCGUAGAGUGUAAAGGCAGAAGGGAGCUUGACUGCGAGACAGACAGGUCGAGCAGGGACGAAAGUCGGGCUUAGUGAUCCGGUGGUACCGUAUGGAAGGGCCAUCGCUCAACGGAUAAAAGCUACCCUGGGGAUAACAGGCUUAUCUCCCCCAAGAGUUCACAUCGACGGGGAGGUUUGGCACCUCGAUGUCGGCUCAUCGCAUCCUGGGGCUGUAGUCGGUCCCAAGGGUUGGG
rnacentral:rRNA from 1 species